rnacentral:rRNA from 1 species
GAUGAACGCUAGCUACAGGCUUAACACAUGCAAGUCGAGGGGCAGCAUGAAAGGAACUUCGGUUCUUUUUGAUGGCGACCGGCGCACGGGUGCGUAACGCGUAUCGAACCUGCCUCAUACUCGGGGAUAGCCUUGCGAAAGUAAGAUUAAUACCCGGCGGUCUCGGAUGGCCGCAUGACUAUCCGAGUGAAGAUUUAUCGGUAUGAGAUGGCGAUGCGUCCCAUUAGCUUGUUGGUGAGGUAACGGCUCACCAAGGCAUCGAUGGGUAGGGGUUCUGAGAGGAAGGUCCCCCACAUUGGAACUGAGACACGGUCCAAACUCCUACGGGAGGCAGCAGUGAGGAAUAUUGGUCAAUGGACGAAAGUCUGAACCAGCCAAGUAGCGUGCAGGACGACGGCCCUCUGGGUUGUAAACUGCUUUUAGUUGGGAAUAAAAAGAGGGACGUGUCCCUUAUUGUAUGUACCAUCAGAAAAAGGACCGGCUAAUUCCGUGCCAGCAGCCGCGGUAAUACGGAAGGUCCGGGCGUUAUCCGGAUUUAUUGGGUUUAAAGGGAGCGCAGGCGGCGGCGUAAGUCAGUUGUGAAAUCGUGCGGCUUAACCGUGCAAUUGCAGUUGAUACUGCGUCGCUUGAGUGCACACAGGGAUGUUGGAAUUCAUGGUGUAGCGGUGAAAUGCUUAGAUAUCAUGAAGAACUCCGAUCGCGAAGGCAUAUGUCCGGAGUGCAACUGACGCUGAGGCUCGAAAGUGUGGGUAUCAAACAGG